GAUAAACGCUGGCGGCGCACAUAAGACAUGCAAGUCGAACGGACUUAACUCAUUCUUUUAGAUUGAGAGCGGUUAGUGGCGGACGGGUGAGUAACGCGUAGGUAACCUGCCUAUUAGCGGGGGAUAACUAUUGGAAACGAUAGCUAAUACCGCAUAAUAGUGUUUAACACAUGUUAGAGACUUGAAAGAUGCAAUUGCAUCACUAGUAGAUGGACCUGCGUUGUAUUAGCUAGUUGGUGGGGUAACGGCCUACCAAGGCGACGAUACAUAGCCGACCUGAGAGGGUGAUCGGCCACACUGGGACUGAGACACGGCCCAG
rnacentral:rRNA from 1 species